rnacentral:rRNA from 1 species
AUACAGAGGGUGCGAGCGUUAAUCGGAAUUACUGGGCGUAAAGCGCGCGUAGGCGGCUUAUUAAGUCAGAUGUGAAAUCCCCGGGCUCAACCUGGGAACUGCAUCUGAUACUGGUAAGCUAGAGUUUUGGAGAGGGAAGUAGAAUUUCAGGUGUAGCGGUGAAAUGCAUAGAGAUCUGAAGGAAUACCAGUGGCGAAGGCGACUUCCUGGCCAAAAACUGACGCUGAGGUGCGAAAGCGUGGGUAGCAAACGGGAUUAGAAACCCUUGUAGUCC